rnacentral:rRNA from 1 species
UAACGAAUCUUCCGCAAUGCACGAAAGUGUGACGGAGCGACGCCGCGUGGAGGAGAAGUCCUUCGGGAUGUAAACUCCUGUCAGGGGAAAGAAAGUUCUGAUCUACCCCAGAGGAAGAGGCGGCUAACUCUGUGCCAGCAGCCGCGGUAAUACAGAGGCCUCGAGCGUUAGGCGGAAUCACUGGGCUUAAAGCGUGUGUAGGUGGAUGCCUAAGUACCUUGUGAAAUCCCACAGCUUAACUGUGGAAUUGCUUGGUAUACUGGGUGUCUUGAGCCACUCAGGGGCUACUGGAACAAACGGUGGAGCGGUGAAAUGCGUAGAUAUCGUUUGGAACGCCAAUGGUGAAAACAGGUAGCUGGGGGUGUGCUGACACUGAGACACGAAAGCCAGGGGAGCAAACGGGAUUAGAUACCCGCGUAGUCC